GGAUUAGAUACCCUGGUAGUCCACGCUGUAAACGAUGGGUACUAGAUGUCCGGGGAAUCGACCCCUUGGGUGUCGCAGCUAACGCAUUAAGUACCCCGCCUGGGGAGUACGGUCGCAAGACUAAAACUCAAAGGAAUUGACGGGGGCCCGCACAAGCGGUGGAACAUGUGGUUUAAUUCGACGCAACGCGAAGAACCUUACCUGGAUUUGACAUCCCGUGCAAUCUUGUGAAAGCAAGAGUUUUCUUCGGAAACACGGUGACAGGUGCUGCAUGGCUGUCGUCAGCUCGUGCCG
rnacentral:rRNA from 1 species